rnacentral:lncRNA from 1 species
CACACUCUGUCAAUGAUCAUCACCAUCCUGACCCUUCUCCAAUACCCAUGCCUGCAUCAUAUGCCCCUGUAUAUAAUAAUCCUGCUAGCUUUUCUGGUGUUCCAGAAGUUGCAAAUAAUACGCAACAUUCUACAGUUGAAGCUGAUGAAGUGUCACCAGUGGAACAUUCAUUUCCACCUGUUCCACACCCAGCAGACUUGAGAAGGACAACAAGGAGUGCCAAUCUGCCAAUAUGGUUAAAGGAUUAUGUAACUACUAAAUCUGGUGGUAAGUCUGGAGGUGUGACCCUUUAUUCUAUCUCAGAUGUGUUGUCUUAUGAUAAUGUCUCACCAGCAUACCAAGCCUAUCUGCAAGCCUUUUUAGCUCAAAUUGAACCACAAAAUCUUAAAGAAGCCGCAAAAAAUGAACACUGGAUUAAGGCUAUGUAGCUUGAAAUUCAAGCCUUGGAGGAAAAUCAGACUUGGGACCUGGUCCCUCUGCCACCAGGGAAACAUGCCAUAGGUUUUAAAUGGGUAUACAAGAUUAAAUAUAAAGCUGAUGGAAGCAUUAAAAGAUACAAGUCUAGAUUAUUUGCGAAGGAUACAAUGAGCAGGAAGGUUUGGAUUAUCAUGAUACCUUCUCACCUGUUGCUAAAAUUAUGACAGUCAGAGCUGUGAUAAGCCUGGCAGCCUCCAAGAAGUGGGACAUCUUCCAAAUGGAUGUAAAUAAUGCUUUCCUACAAGGAGAUCUUUAUGAAGAUGUAUACAUGGAAUUGCCUCAAGGAUUUCAGAGACAAGGAAGUAAACUGGUAUGCAAACUGAAAAAAUAUUAUAUGGACUCAAACAGGCUUCCAGAUAGUGAAAUAUUAAGCUCACAAAUGCAUUAAUUGCUGGUGGCUAUACACAAAGCAGCUAUUAUCACUCACUAUUUAUUCAGAGAUCAGGAUAUGAUAUUGUAGUGGUCUUGGUUUAUGUUGAUGAUCUGCUUAUCACAAGGAGUAACUCUACUCUAAUUUAGCAUGCAAAAGACACAUUGAACAAGGCAUUCAAGGUGAAAGACUUGGGCCAAUUAAGAUUCUUCUUGGGGAUUGAAGUACUCAGGUCUGACAAAGGUAUAUUUCUCAACCAAAGAAAGUAUGUGUCGGAACUGAUCUCACAAAUUAGCCUGAGUGGGUGAAAACCAUCUCCAACACCAUUAGAGGUCAAUAAGAAAUUAACUUCUAUAGAGUAUGACCUCCAAGUUGGUCCAUCUGAUGAUCCAGAAAUAGAUGACAUACUUGGUUAUCAAAAGCUGGUUGGAAAAUUGUUUUACCUCACUAUUACAAGGCCAUACAUUUGCUUUGCAGUACAAACAUUAACCCAAUUUAUGCAGAGACCUAAAAAGUCUCACAUGGAUGGUGCACUAAGGGUGGUGAGGUAUCUGAAGGGUAAUCCUGGACUUGGAAUUUUACUUAAAGAAGAUGAGAUCACAUCUAUGACUGACUUCUGUGACUCUGAUUGGGCAUCUUGUCCCAACACUAGAAGCUCAGUUUCAGGGUAUAUAGUCAUGAUGGGUGAUUCUUUGGUUUCUUGGAAAUCUAAGAAACAACAUACAGUGAGCAGAAGCUCAGUAGAAGCUGAGUAUAAGAGCAUGGCAGGUGCAACUGCUGAAGUGAUAUGGCUGACUGGUUUAUUGCCAGAGCUUGGAGUGACCUUAACCAUGCCUGUGAAGUUGUUUUGUGAUAAUAAAGCUGCACUACAAAUUGCUGCUAAUCCUAUUUUUCAUGAGAGAACUAAGCACAUAGAAAUCGAUUGUUAUUUUGUCAGAGAAAGAAUCAAAUCAGGUUUACUGCAACCAGUUCAUGUCCCCUCCAACAUUCAACUAGCUGAUCUCAUGACUAAAGGACUUCCAGCAGCUCAACAUCAGUUUCUUCUUUCCAAGCCGAGAGUCCUUGAUGUUUUCCGGUCACCAGCUUGAGGGGGAGUAAAGAGACUAGUCAGUUAGAUUGUUGUAGUUUGUUAGAAAAAGAGUGGUGUACAGCUGGUGUACAACUGUCAAGUUAGUGGAGUUGGAUGUUAGUGGAGUCGGUUAUUUUUCUAAAUAAGUAGCAAUUGCAUCACUAACAAUGUAAUCAGAACAAAUCAUUUUUCAAUCAAUAAAGCUUGUUCAUUCCUCUAAGAACCAUAUCAACGAACUUGGUUCAAUAGCUCUAGGGAUUUUAUCAAGCUACGUAUUUACCAUGUUAGAAAAAGCUUGAAGACUAUACUUCACAGGAAAAUGACGGUGCGAAUAAUAGUAUAUUUCCAUAGUAUCUGAGUCAGUGGACUCAGAUAUACCAGCAAUCGGUCGUUGGUCCCUUGGUUGAAAGCACUAAUUUAUAUAUUUAUUUAUUUAUAAGUUAAUGGUCAGAAAUAUAUUAAAAUUAUUAUAGAUUUUUCAAAAACUUUUAUACCUCAUUCAUUGUUUCAUUUACUUAUCUAAACAGUCACUACUAUCUUAAAACACACUUCAAUGUUGAGUUAAUCAAAUAUUUGAUCCAUAUAGUUGAGGUAUGGACUGUACGAAAAGAUGAUAUUUAAGUAGGGGAAUAGAAAAAUGGAUAGUUGAAAUGUGAAACUGGCGAAAAAGUGAUGUUUAAACAUUAUUUUUAAUUACAUUUAUGAAAACGAAUAAUUCGGUAUGGCUAUAAAUUUAUAUAGAAACUUAUAAUUUUCCUUAACCCCGCCCCCCCCCCCCGCGGCCCCCUCUAAAUAAUUGGUUUGAUUUAAUUCGACAGGUUAAAGUCGAUUUUUAGAAAAUCAUUUAACACUCUAGGAAGUAUUAGGUAAUGCUUUAUUUUCAAAGACGUAUAUCCUCCAAAGAGCUUUAUUCAUAUUUUACUUAACGAGGUACUAUGAAGAUAUGAAAGAGAUCAAAAGGAAAUUAUAUAUGUGCGUAUAAAUAGCUGCGUGUAACCAACCACUUGGAUACUGGGGCAUUGAGAAGCAAGGAUACUUCCAUAAGCAAAAAGUCAUAUUGUCUGUGAUAUAUGAAUCUAAAGCAAAAAGUCAUGUUGUCCGUGAUAUAUGAAUCUAAUGGUAGAAAAUAAUAUCUGUGAUAUAUGAAUCUGAUGGUAGAAAAAUAAUCUAAUAUUGAAUACCCAUUAGAAACGUCUAUUAGAAAAUGACAAAAGACAGCCCAAAAGAACAAAUAAAAACUCAAGACUUAUUCUUUUACGCGUAAUAUUUGAUGAUUCAUGUGUGAUGCGGGAUGUUUUCUUUCCUGCUCUCGAAUUCUAUUGGGAGCUUUCAAGAGGAGCGGAACUAGCAUAUAAUUAGGGGUGCAGAUGAAUUCUUUCGAUGAAAAAUUAUAUUUUAGGAUGAAAAUUACUUUUUAUAAAUAUAUAACAGGGUAUGCAUGCAGAAUUUUAAUUCACUUAAUGAGUGAAAUAACCAUCAUCAUACCAAUAGUAUGGAUCAUCAUUACUAUUCACAUAUGAAUAGUCAUGAAUAAACCAUUGUUCUUGAACAGGAUAAUCUAUAAUUUUUUCAAGAAAAUCUUUAUUUAAUUUUAUCACCUUUAAAAUAGUGAUUAAAGUUUUUUCAUCUAAGAAAAUGGUAUAAUAACUCAUUAUACAAUAUAAAGAGUAAAUUUCUUUAUUAAAAGUUUGAUGCUUUUAUGCUGAAAUUCUCGUAUUUCUUUUCGCAUACGAGUUUUAUCAAGAGACCUGAAUAACAGUAUUUUUAAUCUGUUAAUUUCAGAAAUAUUUGAAGUACUUUUCAAUCGAUAGAUUUUUUGAUAAUAGUAUUUUAAUUUUGUUAUAUCUCUGUUAAGAGCUUCUAUGCUUGUUUUGGUUUCCCAAAAUCUUUUUCUAAGAUUCUUUAGUAGUGGUUGUACCACUCUCAUGAUGAUAAAUAUAGAUAAUUCAUGAUUUUAAUAUUCCCUAUAGGUACUUAGUAACACAUAAUAUGUAUGAGUGUACAAAGUAGAUAUGAAUAAAAAAUUUUCUUAUGUUAAUAUGUUCAUGAAAUGAUAGAGUUUAUACGUAUACCUUUUUGACUUUCUUUUAUAUUGGCUGUAUCAACAUCGUAGUGCUUCUCCUUCCGGCUAUGAAGAAUUAUUUAGCCUAUUGCGACUCACUGUCUCAGGCUAUUGUGCCGUUCUUCCUCCGUCGAGGCUGAAGAUUGCAACCUUCAUUUAUCACCAACAUAUAGAAAUGACAAAAGAUAUAUAAAACAAACUUUUUAUUUCAUGAAUAUAUUACAACACAGGAAAAAUCUUUAAUCAGAUCUUCCUUAUACUCACACACAAACUAUUUGUUACUUUUCCCUCGCGGGAGAAGUGUUUCUCACUCACUCAUAUAGAAGAUACCUAGUAUUUUCUAAGAAAGAGAUAUUCAGA